rfam:Toxocara canis scaffold559, whole genome shotgun sequence.
GUGGCAGUACCUCAGUGCUAGAGCUCCCGCUUCGUACGCGGGAAGACCUAGGUUCGAUUCCCGGCUGCUUACC